rnacentral:rRNA from 1 species
UACGUAGGGUGCGAGCGUUGUCCGGAAUUAUUGGGCGUAAAGAGCUCGUAGGCGGUGUGUCGCGUCGGCCGUGAAAACCUGGGGCUCAACUCUGGGCGUGCGGUCGAUACGGGCAUCACUUGAGUUCGGCAGGGGAGACUGGAAGUUCCUGGUGUAGCGGUGAAAUGCGCAGAUAUCAGGAGGAACACCGGUGGCGAAGGCGGGUCUCUGGGCCGAUACUGACGCUGAGGAGCGAAAGCAUGGGUAGCGAACGG